rnacentral:misc_RNA from 1 species
AUUGAAGCGGAACACAAUGAGAAUGAACUGUGUAUAAUAAUAAAUUCGAUUUUCUAUCAGUGUGAUUGGACAUGGUGAACAUUUUGAAACAGCUAAUGUUCACCUUAAUUGUUAAUUUAUUUGCGUCUCCUAUCACUGAAAUCGGAAACUCCUUUUUCUCUUCUUUUUCUAUUCUCCGUUCUUUAUUUCCUCUCUUUUAUGUUUCUUUAUAUUUCUUGCAGAUUUUUUUUAUCAUUGUCGUUUCAUCACCCUCGUCGUUUAUUCGUUUUCUGCCACAACAUUCCGACUUCCUUCAUCAAGACGUCCGCGUGACGAGCAGCGAACAAAAGUGGGCAUUGUACGAGAGAAUGCAAGCCAGCGAACGAGAAAAGUGCCAUCGACGUCCACGCAACUGGCGCAACCAGGCGCCACGUCCCGUUUAGUCACGAACCAGAGGAACGCCGUACGCAUCCCCUCAUCGCCGAGGCAAGAACUAACACGUCACGACAGACGAGGGUCCUUGGAAGUCGACACCGGGCUACCUUGAGACGCGAAAACCAGCAUCGUAUAGGAAGGGAGUACUGCGCACCGUGAAUACUCACGGCAGCCUUGUAUACCGGGUGGAUCUGGCCAAUUUGUCGAUUGCUUAGGAGGUGAUUAUGGUAUAUUGAGUUUAGAAACGACAUUACGACGAAGUAAUCCUUUACCAACCGUGCGAUAUUAUAUAAUUUAUUCCAAAUGAUUCAUACUCUAUAUGUUCGUAUACACACGAAAAUAUUUGAAGAUUCAAGAAGAUUUUUAUGUAUAGUACAUUGUAUAUACAAAAGAUUUGGAAAUUGUAUUAGCACUUUAACGAGAUUCAACUGUCAUGAUUAUAUCAGUUAUUAUACAUAUGUAUAGAAUGUCGACACUAGUGCAGUAUAAAAUUGCGAUUAGUUAUUGGGUGUGAAAAUUAUAAAUUAGAACGAGAAAUAUCAGAUAUGGAGAUUUGCGAGCUGAGAUAAUUCUAGAUAUUAGAAAAGUAAUGAGCUGGUGCAAAUUGCACCUGCGAGGAAAACUACAGGCAGGAUUAAAGUUGGAUAAAAGUGAUUAUUCACUAAUAACGAGAUUGAGGCUUGGCAAAUAUGUGCAUAUCGGCGUAUUGCGUAACAGAGUUCCAUCGGAAGAUUGCAAGGCUUAGUAGUUUAUUAGUGGUAUAUUAAUUCAGUUGAAUCUACAAGGUACUAUUUUUAUACUCAGUUUUAUACAUGCUCGUUACGAUCUCUAAUUAAAUCAUUCACACAGCUAAUAUUAAAUUAUCGCAGACGCCGGUCAAUGAUACACGUCGAUCUCUAUUACGAUCAUUCCACGUCCUCGAUCUUAGCUGCUGAGUUUCUACGAUACGCAAUACACCGUUCGCAAUUAUCUUCACGCAACACUACGUUCACGCGAUGCGCCUCAAAUUCCAA